rnacentral:tRNA from 1 species
GCGGGUAUGGUUCACCGGUAGAAUGCGUCCUUCCCAAGGAUGAGAAGAGGGUUCGACUCCCUUUACCCGCUCCA